rnacentral:tRNA from 1 species
GGCGGGGCAGAAACGGGCGAUUUCGUCAGCUUCCCAAGCUGAAUGUCGAGGGUUCGAUCCCCUUCACCCGCUU